GGCCUAUUUGGAGUGGGAUGUCCCUGAAAAUCCCCAAGGUUGGACUCUGGCAGGCCACCCGGAAGAACAGGGACCUGAUGGCUGGAACGCCAGCAGCCAUUUUGAACCAUGAGGAGAAUUUGAGAAUGAUACUAUUUGAAAUGUCCCUGAUGACACCAAACUAUGGCCGCAGCUCAGCAGGAGCCUCUACCUUCAGACUUCUUUUAGGCCAUAGUCGCGGGAGGGCGAGACAGAGUCGCUGGAGGGUGAGAGGAUUCACCAGAGACAGAGCCGGCAGACAGAACAAAAGCACUGCUGAGGGGAGCAGCGGGCGAGCCAAGAGAGGUCAUAUGGGUCAUAUGCCGCGCCGUAUGGGUAGCUCCCUGGCCGGCCGGGAAUCGAACCCAUGCUGCAAAGGCUGCAGAUAGCUUCACAGCGCUGCGCUCAACCUUCUGCGUCACCAGGGAGGCCCUCUCUUGAGUCACUUGUUAUCAGAAAGUCCAGCUUCCGUGUUAUGAAGUUAAUCAGUGGCCUGUGGAGAGGCCUACAUGGUGAAGAAGUGAGGUGUCCAGCUAACACCCACCUAGAAGGGGCUUGGAAGUGGAUUCUCCAGGCCCCCCUGACUAGCCCAUGGCCAUGGCCGACAGCUCGAGUGUUAGCUCAUAAUAGACCCUGAGUCAGAACCUCUCAGCUAAACAAACCGCUCCCAGAUUCCUGCCCAUGGAAGUUAUAAGAUAAUAAAUGUCUAUUGCUUUAAGUUGCUAAAUUUGGGGUAAGUUUUUACAGAACAAUAGGUAAUUAAUUCAGCAGAGCAGUCUUUGGAGAAAUGCUGUAUCACUGUUACUCAUGACGGCCAGAUGAUUCUCUGGAAAAACCCAGACACUGAUAGCUCAGAGCCGAAGAGCCAUCCCAAGAGCCAGACUCUGACAGAGUUUAAGGACAAUCUCAUUCCGUCUAUUUCACCUGUUUUCCCUGUGGCAUGUGUGCCCGUCAUUG